rnacentral:rRNA from 1 species
AACGAACGCUGGCGGCAGGCUUAACACAUGCAAGUCGAGCGAGACCUUCGGGUCUAGCGGCGGACGGGUGAGUAACGCGUGGGAACGUGCCCUUCUCUACGGAAUAGCCCCGGGAAACUGGGAGUAAUACCGUAUACGCCCUUUGGGGGAAAGAUUUAUCGGAGAAGGAUCGGCCCGCGUUGGAUUAGGUAGUUGGUGGGGUAAUGGCCCACCAAGCCGACGAUCCAUAGCUGGUUUGAGAGGAUGAUCAGCCACACUGGGACUGAGACACGGCCCAGACUCCUACGGGAGGCAGCAGUGGGGAAUCUUAGACAAUGGGGGCAACCCUGAUCUAGCCAUGCCGCGUGAGUGAUGAACGCCUUAGGGUUGUAAAGCUCUUUCAGCUGGGAAGAUAAUGACGGUACCAGCAGAAGAAGCCCCGGCUAACUCCGUG